rnacentral:lncRNA from 1 species
AAAAAAAUAAUUUUGAAAGAUCAAUUUUGUCCAUAAUUUUUAACAAAACAAUUAAUUUUAAAAUGGCCAUAGGCUUGUUAAAGUAAGGAGAAGCCAAAAAACAACUUUAAAAUGUAUUUGAAGGCCCCAUUGAAGGUUUUGUAGGACUACAAUAGUCAUCUUGCACAUAAAACCCCCAUGGGCAUUUUGAAAAGUUGGCAGGUAUGCCCUU